rnacentral:rRNA from 1 species
CCUACGGGAGGCAGCAGUGGGGAAUAUUGGGCAAUGGAGGCAACUCUGACGCAGCAAUGCCGCGUGAGUGAUGAAGGUAAUCGGAUUGUAAAGCUCUUUUCUUAGGAACGAAAAAAUGACGGAACCAAAGGAAUAAGCCCCGGCUAACUACGUGCCAGCAGCCGCGGUAAUACGUAGGGGGCAAGCGUGGUUCGGAAUGACUGGGCGUAAAGGGUGGGUAGGUGGGUUGAUAAGUUAGAUGUGUAAUACCCAGGGCUUAACUCGGGUGCUGCAUCUAAAACUGUUAGACUUGAGUACUGGAGAGGAUAGUGGAAUUCCUAGUGUAGCGGUGGAAUGCGUAGAUAUUAGGAGGAACAUCAGUGGCGAAGGCGACUGUCUGGACAGCAACUGACGCUGAGGCACGAAAGCGUGGGGAGCGAACAGGAUUAGAUACCCGUGUAGUC